UCCCUGGUGGUCCAGUGGUUAGGACUCAGUGCUUACACUGCCGUGGCCCAGGUUCAAUUCCUGGUUGGGGAA
rnacentral:tRNA from 1 species